ensembl:snRNA U6 U6 spliceosomal RNA
AUGCUCACUUUCACAGCACAUGUACUAAAAUUGGAAUAAUACAGAGAAGAUUAGCAUGGUUCCUGCACAAGGAUGAUGUGCAAAUUUGUGACGUGUUCCAUAUUUUU